rnacentral:tRNA from 1 species
GCGCCCAUAGCUCAACUGGACAGAGUGUUUGGCUACGGACCAAAAGGUUAGGGGUUCGACUUCCUCUUGGGCGCGCCA